UCAGUGUGUAACUCUGAGCUCCACACCCAGUGCCAGCUGCUGCUUCCCCAUCCUGGGCAGACACAACAAUUCCUCUCCAGGCCUGGCAGUCAAGGACACCUCCCUGCCUCAGGGCCAGAGAUGGAAACAAAAGUGUCCCCAACCAGCCAUCAAGAGGAGCCAUCAGUGGGGCAGCAGGAUGGAAUUGUGCCUGCAGCUCUCCUGUCACCCGUCCCUGUCCCACGGCCCAGCACGAGCCUUCCUUUGUGUCCCAUGAGAUCCCCCUGGGCUUCUCCCGUGGCUUCAGAAGGAUUUAGGAUGGGAUAACAGGAGAGUGAACUGAGAGGUGUCACAGGGCAGGAACAGCGCCAGAUGAGAAGUCACGGAGUGGAUGGAAGAGAGAAAACUGCCUGGAGCUGGCUGGGCAGAGAGAAGGUCAAUUUUCUACCCCACUGUUGAGGGUUGUUUCCACAUAAGGAUGCUGUGUGGGACUCAGAAUGGGCUGUGCUCCACAGGCAGCAGAUAAAAGGAGCAGAUUUUGUGUUCUACACCUCUCCAGAGCGCCCCACCCUCUGUCUUCAGCUUUCUUGGAGUCUGGCCUCAGGCCACUGCACCCUGUGCUGUU